UUCAAAAUUCUGGGAUUGUGCCUUUGAUACCGCUGUCUAUCUUAUUAAUCAUCUCCUACUGGGUCUCUCGGCCUCUCCUCUCCUUAUAAAAAAUUACAUGGCAAAACUCCGGAUUAUCACUUCUUACGUGUUUUCAGCCGUCUUUCUUGCCCUUAUCUUCGUCCAUACACUAAACACAAACUUGAGUUUCAUUCUCGUCCUUGUGUUUUCCUUGGCUAUCCCUCUAGUCAGCUCGGUUAUCGUUGCUUUGAUCCAAACCCUGGUCGAAUAUUUGUUAUACGUACUGUAGUUUUUGAUGAACAAGCAUUCCCUUUUCGUUCUCCGGGCUCUACUACGGUUGCACAGCAGUUGUCCACUCCUUCGGCGAGGUCGGACUCUUCCUCAGUUCUUUAACUCUGCCUGAUUCAGAACCUUUCCCUGCUAUUCCGGCUGCGAUUUGCUUCUCCUGGUACUGUCGUUCAGAAUGCUGCAGGACUCCCCACUGAUCAGAUAGCUUCUGAUGCUCCAACUGCUGAUCAGUCCACUCUUUCAGCUGCUGUUCAGCCCUCCGAUCAGCAUGCUUCCUCCUCAAUCACUGCACAGGAUACAAGUCUGGUUCAUCCCAUGGUUACAAGGUCGCAGGAUGGGUCUCUUCCACCUCGGUGUUUUACUCUUUCUAAACAUCCUGCUGCCUUUUUGUUUCGGUUGAUUUGCAGGAACCAAGUUCCUUUGCGAAGGCGAAACGAGACUCACGGUGGAUUGAAGCUAUGAGGGAGGAAUUUCGGGCUCUUCUUAGCUACCGUACAUGGGACCUUGUGCCUCCUCCUCCUAAUCAUCAUAUUAUCAGAUGUAAGUGGGUCUCUAGGGUGAAACAAAAAGCCAAUGGGUCUGUUGAACGUAUUAAAGCCUGACUACUUGCUAAGGGGUUUAAUCAGCAGGAAGGCAUGGAUUAUGAAGAAACAUUCAGCCCGUUCAUCAAGCCAGUUACCAUCCAUACAGUACUAACCAUUGCGACUUCUCUCAAGUGGCCCAUUCGUAAACUCGAUGCGAAGAAUGCCUUUCUCCAUGGUUAUCUUGAUGAAGAGGUGUAUAUGCAGCAGCCCCCUGGGUUUGUGGACUCGACUCAAGCUUGUUUUGUUUGUCGUCUCAACCGUUCUCUUUAUGGACCGAAGCAAGCACCACAUGCAUGGUUUCUUCGUCUUAGUGACUUUCUUUUUCGGCUUGGCUUUACCGGAUUUCGGGUUGACUCUUCAUUAUCCAUAAUGCGCACAGCCUCUUAUUGCAUUUA